UUUGGAAUGAGACUGGACGCGAGGUAAAAUACACCAUUUAAACCAGAAGAUAAUCGACCUAUACUAUAAUAGAAUAUAAUAUAUAAUGUUAUAAUAUAGGAAAGUUAUAUUAGGAAAAUUAUAACUUUGUAAUCUGAAUAUUUUCCUUGGUGCCCCGAUCUCCUAGUUAAUUACAAUUAAACGAUGAAUCAGUUUAAUCGUGUGAUAAUAAUUAAAGGGAGUUCAUUGAUAAACAUGUCUUCAGUUUAAUGGUACCCCAAAGACACGACACCACUGUUAUAGUGGGUUAGUUUAGUGGGUUGGUGACCACUGUUAUAGUGGGUUAGUUUAGUGGCUUGGUGACCACUGUUAUAGUGGGUUAGUUUAGUGGGUUGGUGACCACUGUUAUAGUGGGUUAGUUUAGUGGGUUGGUGACCACUGUUAUAGUGGGUUAGUUUAGUGGCUUGGUGACCACUGUUAUAGUGGGUUAGUUUAGUGGGUUGGUGACCACUGUUAUAGUGGGUUAGUUUAGUGGUCUAAUGUGCUCCCCCAGUGCUAUAAUUUGAUUGGUAGAAGAUAUUUGAUUUGAGAUUUGAAAAGCAGAGAUGUAGACCAACAUUUCAUUCACUCUAAGUUUUUGUCCACGUUUUUGGGAAAGUGGUCAAAAUGUCAGUUGUUUUUAAAAGUUUAGAUAAACUGUUGUUGAUGCAGUUAAUAAAACAACUAUCGUUUGAUUGGUAGAAUAUAUUUAUUGUUCUGAUUUCAGAUUUGAAUAGCAGAGAAGUAGACUGAAAUGUUUGUCCAAGUUGUUCGAAAGGUGCUCAAAGGAGCUUUUUUUGUGUCAAAAGUUACAUUGUUUACAGUGAAUAGAAUGUUGGAAGUCAUGGGAGUUUAUAACGGUGCAGCAGGUAGCCUAGUGGUUAGAGUGUUGGGACAGUAACUGAAAGGUUGUUAGUUCGAAUCCCCGAGCUGACAAGGUAAAAAUCUGUCUUUCUGCCCCUGAACAAGGCAGUUAACCCACUGUUCCUAGGCUGUCAUUAUCAAUAAGGAGUUGUUCUUAACUGACUUGCCCAGUUAAAUAAAGGAAAGAAAUCAAAUAACAGUGGGAGUGUUAGAAUUUUUAAGAAAUCCCAUACAAGUGGAUGAGUUUUAUAGUUUAAAAAGUACAAAUGUUAUCAAAAAAGUUGUAUACAAGCAACCUAUUCCAGACCAAUAAAUAAUGGUACAUUUUAUGAUUACAUGUCCAUGCGUUGCUACCAUAGAUAAAUUAAAUAUCCUAGCAUGAGUAUUCCAUCUGCUUAGCUGUACUGUUAUAGAUUCGGCCCUAAUUUAUGUGCACUUUGUCACCACCGGCCGCAUGGGAAAUGGCUCAAGACAAUGCCCAAGGACCAGUAGGCCCUUCCCCCCUCUGAGGGGCCAAAAUGCAUCUCUCAACAGUAUCCAGAGGUCUGACUACUGGAAUGUGUAAUAUAAUAAUCAUACAGCAGCCAUGUCUGGUAUCUAUCUGAAACUUGUCCUCUGAGGAGAACUUUCAUGCCAUCUAUAUGGAUGUAUGAUCUCUGUAGUAACUUGUAUCUGUACAGCAUGAACGCUCUCUCCUAAAUUACUCGAUGCAAAAGGGUUUUAUUGUCUAUUUACAUUGGUUUCAUCCCCCACACAAGCUGUUAGACGCUGUAACACCCUGUGGAGAUGGGGCCUGGGUGAUCAGGUUACUGUAAAAUUGGUAUUGUUUUAUUGGUCAAUGGUGGUUGGUUUUGGUUUGAAAAUGUUACACCUUCAGAUGUUAUAAAUGGAAUGAAGGUCUGUUGUUCUCUCUCUUAUCCUGUAUGACAUUUUCUAGGCAUCUGACAUAGUAGGCAUCUCUUUGUUCAUGCUUCAUCUUGUAAGUUAACCUUGGGAUUUAUCCCCUCAAAUUAAGUUUUAUUAAUAUAUUGCCUUGUAACUUAAGCUUUAUACCUUGUAUGGGAAUACAUUCAUUUUACAAAGUUAUUAAAUAACACUUGCUUUGAUUUUCGCUUCUCAUGACCC
rnacentral:lncRNA from 1 species